GUCAGCAUCAAAUUACUGUGCGUGCGUGAUCUUGAGCAUUCGCAGGACAAGAUAGUGCAGUUCGAUUGCGAGCAAUACGAAUGCUGUAAACACGGCACCUCAUUGCGGCGGAACGAAGGGUCAAGGCGCAUCCAACAGCAGCCCGUUGCCGAAACCAGCCAGCGAAGCUCCAGAGAAUCAAAUAUUAAGUUGUAUAUGAAUGCUUUACCCAGCAACUCUCAGAUCUGCUGUACAAAAUUCGAAGUAGAAAACAUACCGAUGGCUCAGGAAGGGCGCAUAACAAAGGCAGACCAUUCGUUGCCCACUGCUGUGCCGCUGAGUGAAUCUACAGAGGUUGGUAAUAAUCAGAGAGACGAUGUUGAAAUAAUAUCUAAUGGUACAGCAGGCCCACUACAGGCACUUGCUUCGCAAAAACCAUUAUCUAAUUCAGAUUCGCACAAUAAUGCACCGGGAAAUGAAUCUGUAUUGAGUAGCUGUUCCUGUUCCCCUCAACUUUUAUUGAAAACUAACCAGAAACUUGACUUACUGCUUAAGAAAAUGAACCGAUUGCAGCGUAGGGUAACGGAAAUUGAAAAAAAUAUGAAUUUUUUGAAGAAUCACAAAAAAGCAAGUACGCCAGUCAGAAAGGAAACUACGAUACAACUACCGGGAAACAGCAAGAAUACGUUAGGUAUACAGGAUAGUUUAGAACUCCCAUUUUCGCCGGUGUCAUGCUUAUUCGAGAUGGAAAAAUUGGAAGAAAUGGCUAAGGAUAUGCACUUCGUUAACUAUGUGAAAAUGCAGAUAAAUCGUAUUGUUGGCUUAAACGUACGGCAGGGAGAAGGAAUCUCCUAUUGUCGGCGAUUAAUCGACUAUUUUUUUACUAGAUUUUUUAUGACUCAAUGCACAUGGUCAGGACGAGCUAGUCGAAUCAAAGAACCAUCUAAAAGUGUUGAAAAGAAAAUCCGUCUCAAGGACUUCAAUUAUGUUAUUAAUAUGUUUUACGUGACAGCGAAUUAUGCUGAUCCUUUGUUUUCUAAACAACAAUCCGAAGUAGUUAUCAGAAGUGCGAUUAAAAAUGCGAUAGUACGGCUGAAAGCACGGCCUCAACAGACGACCUCAACUAUUCCAGAUGGUGCGAUAGUAACACCAACUGAGGAAUUGCUGCCAAAUAUGAACACGAUUGAUUGCGUUGAAUCGCCUGAGACGAUGGAAUUUGAUCCUUUGGAGAUAAAAUCAGAGCCAGAAUCUUAAUAUAAAAUAACUGUCGAAGUGCUAUUCUGUUUGAAUAUUAAAAGGUAUCGUACAAGUGAAAAUGCUAGCGAUAUUGCAGUUAUGAAACACAUCUUGAACUACGAUAAAUUAAAGAAAUCCUGGCACCUAUGGAAAGUAAAAGACUAAAAAUAGCGUAUGGUUUCGUCCUCUCGUAUUGUUAUUUCGCCUGGUUAUUUCAAUGAUAUUUUUAAAGGUGGGUAGUUCAUUAUCGAUAAAGGUGAUCUUGUAUCGUAUUUAUGGAAUUCUGUUCCAGGAAUUUGAAAUUGAUUUGGUGCGAUGUUUUUCUUGAGAAAUUAAUCGCGAAUCGUUUGACGGAAAAAUAAUAGAAUCAAAACAAAACAUUAAUUUCUUCUGAAACGCGGUGCGGUCAGCACCAGAUAACUGUGCGUGCGCGAUCUUGAACACUCGUAGGACAAGAUAGUGAAAUUCGAUCGCGUUCAAUACGAAUUCUGUAAACAAGGCACCUCAUUGUGGUGGAAAGGAAGGCCAAGGGGCAUCCAAUAGCGGCCCGUUGCCGAAACCAACAAGCGAAGCUUCAUCAAGUCUGUUGAAUAUGGAUGCUUUACCCAGCAAUUUCCAGAUCGGCUGUACAAAAAUCGUAGUAGUAAACAAGCCGAUGGAUCAGGAAGGGCGCACAACAAAACCAGCGCAUCAUUCGUUGUCCUCCGCUAUACCUAAACUUGCUUCUCUUAAACCGAUUACUGAUCGUAAUUCCCAUUAUACUACACCGGAGAAUGAAUUUGUAUUGAGAGGAGAGCAGCAGCAGCCGACUGAUACCAACCGAAAACUUGACUUGGUGCUAGACAAACUAACUCAAAUGGAGGGUAGAAUGAUAUUAAUUGAGAAGCAAAUGUAUUUGUUGGAGAAAAAAAUCGAUAUGCAUUUGUCCUUCGGUCCAGUACCGGGUUCAAGAAAGGACAAAACAGAUAGUCCAGAUAGUUCAUUAUCAAUGUUUUCGCCGGUAUCGUGUUUGGUGGAUUUGGAAAACCUGGAAGAGUUGGCUAAGGAUAAGAACUAUGUUAAUUUUGUGAAAACCCACAUACAAGGUACGCUACGUACCAAAAGACGAAAACCAACAACCGAUCAGCAAAGCAUAUUAGCAAGCAGAAGAGCAGGCCAAACGUAUUGCCUGCGAAUAAUCGAUCUCUUUUUUACCAGAUUUUUCCUAACUCAAUGCGGGUGAACAGGAUCUGUACGGAAUGGUGUUAACAGAAAAAUUCGUUUCAAAGAUUUCGUUAAUGUGUUUCAAAUGUUCUACGAGACAGUCCACUAUGUCGACCCUACAUAUACUAAAGAAGAUACAGAAUCGUUCUUGAGACGGAUGCUUGCAAAUGCCACCCCACGGUUCCAAAACCCUCCAAAAAUAAAAUCAACCAGUCGCUCGAGAAAAGCACCAAAACCGAAUAACAAACGAAUUUUAACAAACACCAAAGCGAUCGAGAACAUUGAAUCGUUUGAAAUAAUGGAGUUAGAUCCAUUGGAGAUAAAAUCAGAAUUAGAAUCAUAGCAACACAUAAUGAACGAAGUUUUGUGUUGCUUUCUCUAUAUCAGAAGUAUCGUAUGAGUAGAAAUGCUACAGAAAUAACUGAAAUCGUAUACAGCAAACAAUUUCAUGUAUGAAAAAUAAAUUACUACAGUAACGUGUGGUUGUGAACAAUCGUA